rnacentral:rRNA from 1 species
AUGAACGCUGGCGGCGUGCCUAAUACAUGCCAGUCGCGCGAACAGACGAGGAGCUUGCUCCUCUGACGUUAGCGGCGGACGGGUGAGUAACACGUGGAUAACCUACCUAUAAGACUGGGAUAACUUCGGGAAACCGGAGCUAAUACCGGAUAAUAUAUUGAACCGCAUGGUUCAAUAGUGAAAGACGGUUUUGCUGUCACUUAUAGAUGGAUCCGCGCCGCAUUAGCUAGUUGGUAAGGUAACGGCUUACCAAGGCAACGAUGCGUAGCCGACCUGAGAGGGUGAUCGGCCACACUGGAACUGAGACACGGUCCAGACUCCUACGGGAGGCAGCAGUAGGGAAUCUUCCGCAUUGGGCGAAAGCUUGACGGAGCAACGCCGCGUGAGUGAUGAAGGUCUUCGGAUCGUAAAACUCUGUUAUUAGGGAAGAACAAAUGUGUAAGUAACUAUGCACGUCUUGACGGUACCUAAUCAGAAAGCCACGGCUAACUACGUG